rnacentral:rRNA from 1 species
CCGGCUAAGGCCCCUAAGCGUGUGCUAAGUGGAAAAGGAUGUGUAGUCGCAGAGACAACCAGGAGGUUGGCUUAGAAGCAGCCACCCUUGAAAGAGUGCGUAAUAGCUCACUGGUCAAGUGAUUAUGCGCCGAUAAUGUAGCGGGGCUCAAGCACACCGCCGAAGCCGCGGCACAUUCAUCUUUACGGUGGAUGUGGGUAGGGGAGCGUCCCCCAUUCAGCGAAGCCUCCGGGUGAUCGGUGGUGGAGGGUGGGGGAGUGAGAAUGCAGGCAUGAGUAGCGAUAAGGCAAGUGAGAACCUUGCCCGCCGUAAGACCAAGGGUUCCUGGGCCAGGCCAGUCCGCCCAGGGUGAGUCGGGACCUAAGGCGAGGCCGACAGGCGUAGUCGAUGGACAACGGGUUGAUAUUCCCGUACCCGUGUAUGGGCGUCCCUGAUGAAUCAGCGGUACUAACCACCCAAAACCGGAUCGACCAUUCCCCUUCGGGGGCGUGGCGAUUCGGGGCUGCGUGGGACCUUCGCUGGUAGUAGUCAAGCAAUGGGGUGACGCAGGAAGGCAGCCGUACCAGUCAGUGGUAAUACUGGGGCAAGCCCGUAGGGAGAGCGAUAGGCAAAUCCGUCGCUCACUAAUCCUGAGAGGUGAUGCAUAGCCGGUUGAGGCGAAUUCGGUGAUCCUCUGCUGCCAAGAAAAGCCUCUAGCGAGCACAUACACGGCCCGUACCCCAAACCAACACAGGUGGUCAGGUAGAGAAUACCAAGGCGUACGAGAUAACUAUGGUUAAGGAACUCGGCAAAAUGCCCCGUAACUUCGGGAGAAGGGGGCCGGAAUACCGUGAACACCCUUGCGGUGGGAGCGGGAUUCGGCCGCAGAAACCAGUGGGUAGCGACUGUUUACUAAAAACACAGGUCCGUGCGAAGUCGCAAGACGAUGUAUACGGACUGACGCCUGCCCGGUGCUGGAAGGUUAAGAGGACCCGUUAACCCGUAAGGGUGAAGCGGAGAAUUUAAGCCCCAGUAAACGGCGGUGGUAACUAUAACCAUCCUAAG